AGCUCCAAUAGCGUAUAUUAAAGUUGUUGCAGUUAAAAAGCUCGUAGUUGGACUUCUGGCAGGGCGCCGCGUGCCACACUAGUGCGUACAAGGGCCCGGCCAUCCUUCUGUAAACGUCGCGUGCGUUCACUCGUCCGCGGUGGGACCAGUUAAUUUACCUUGAGAAAAUUGGAGUGUUUCAGGCAGGCGUAGCCGGAAUACAUUAGCAUGGAAUAAUGGAAUAGGACUUAGUCUCUUUGUUGGUUCG
rnacentral:rRNA from 1 species